rnacentral:rRNA from 1 species
AAACCUGAGAGUCUGAUCCUGGCUCAGAGCGAACGCUGGCGGCAGGCUUAACACAUGCAAGUCGAACGAGAAGCCGGGCUUCGGCCCGGUGGACAGUGGCGCACGGGUGAGUAACGCGUGGGAACCUGCCCAUGAGUGGGGAAAAACGGUUGGAAACGACCGCUAAUUCCGCAUACGCCCUACGGGGGAAAGGCUUCGGCCGCUCAUGGAUGGGCCCGCGUCCGAUUAGCUUGUUGGUGAGGUAAUGGCUCACCAAGGCGACGAUCGGUAGCUGG